UGAGUACGAGAUGCUACGGCAUCGAAGCAGUCUAUGUCAUACUUCCAAGAAAAGCUUGCACUGUCAGAAACAGAUAAUGCCUGUACCAUAACCGACACAGGUGGGUAGGUAGAGUAUACUAAGGGGCGCGAGAUAACUCUCUCUAAGGAACUCGGCAAAAUGACUCCGUAACUUCGGGAGAAGGAGUGCCUUAUUUUUAAGGUUGCAAUAACAAGAUCCAAGCAACUGUUUACCAAAAACACAGGUCUCCGCUAAGUCGUAAGACGAUGUAUGGGGGCUGACGCCUGCCCAGUGCCAGAAGGUUAAAGAAGUCGGUUAGCAUUCGCGAAGCUGGUAACUGAAGCCCUGGUGAACGGCGGCCGUAACGAUAACGGUCCUAAGGUAGCGAAAUUCCUUGUCGGGUAAGUUCCGACCCGCACGAAAGGCGUAAUGAUUUGGAUACUGUCUCGGAGAGGGGCUCGGUGAAAUAGACUUGUCUGUGAAGAUGCGGACUACCUGCACCUGGACAGAAAGACCCUAUGAAGCUUUACUGUAACUUGAAAUUGAAAUUGGACUUUAUUUGCGCAGUAUAGGUGGGAGGCGUUGAAAAUAUUCUUGCGGGAAUAUUGGAGCCAUCAGUGAGAUACCACUCUUGUAAUGUUAGAUUUCUAACUUUAUAUCAUUAUCUGGUUAAAGAACAGUUUCAGGCGGGCAGUUUGACUGGGGCGGUCGCCUCCCAAAUGGUAACGGAGGCGCACAAAGGUUUCCUCUGAACGGGUAGAAAUCGUAUCUAGAGUGUAAAGGCAUAAGGAAGCUUGACUGUGAGACCUACAAGUCGAGCAGGGACGAAAGUCGGUCUUAGUGAUCUGACGGUGCUGAGUGGAAAGGCCGUCACUCAACGGAUAAAAGUUACUCUAAGGAUAACAGGCUGAUCUCCCCCAAGAGUUCACAUCGACGGGGAGGUUUGGCACCUCGAUGUCGGCUCAUCGCAUCCUGGGGCGGUAGUACGUCCCAAGGGUUGGGCUGUUCGCCCAUGAAAGCGGUACGCGAGCUGGGUUCAGAACGUCGUGAGACAGUUCGGUCCAUAUCCGGUGUAGGCGUUAGAAUAUUGAGAGGAGCCUUCUUUAGUACGAGAGGACCGAGAAGGACGUACCUCUGGUGUACCAGUUAUCGUGCCAACGGUAAACGCUGGGUAGCUAUGUAUGGAGUGGAUAACCGCUGAAAGCAUCUAAGUGGGAAGCCCACCUCAAGAUGAGUAUUCUC
rnacentral:rRNA from 1 species